rnacentral:rRNA from 1 species
GCGGCCACACUGGGACUGAGAUACGGCCCAGACUCCUACGGGAGGCAGCAGCUACGAAUCUUCUCACAAUGGACGGAAAAAGUCUGAUAGAUGCCGACGCCCCGUUGGUGAUUAACGGCCCGUUACAGGUUGUUAAGCCCUUUUCUAUUCGAAGAAUACGGUGUGUAGGCAAUGCCUCCCUGAUUACCGUGGGGUAGGAAUAGUCCCCGGCCCCUUACCUGCCAGCGGCCGCGGUCGCACAUCUCGGGCGAGCGUCGUUCGCACUCGUCGUGCGUAGUGUGCGCGUAGGCCGAUAUGCCAGCUUUGUGUGCCCGACCGUCGCUCCCCUGCUGGCAGCCCGCUGCUACCUGCCUAUCUUGCUUUCGAGAGGGGUGGCUGGCCUGCCGUGUCUAUGGGUGGCGUCUGUAUCUCUCUGGACGCCCAUCGGUGGCGACAGGCCACCUUCUGGCUUCGGACUGACGCAUACGCGCGCGUGCGUGGCGAGCGGGCUCGAUUAGCAUAUCCUGGUCGUCCACGCUGUCAACGAUGUGCAGUAGUUGUUGGGCCGACGCAGGCUCAGUGCCGUAGCUCACGCGUUAAGUGCCCCGCCUGGGGAGUAUGCUCGCAAGAGUGACACUCAGAGGAAUUCACGGGGGCCCGCACAAGCGGUGGAACAUGUGGUAAAAUGAGAUGAUACGCGAGGCACCUUACCAGGGCUUGACAUAUACAGGAAUGCGCAUGAGAGUGCGCAGCCCUUCGGGGUCUGUAUACAGGUGCUGCAUGGCUGUCGUCAGCUCGUGCCGUGAGAUGUUGGGUUAAGUCCAGCAACGAGCGCAACCCCUGUUGUCUGU